UUUAGAACUGUCUACCGAUAGAGGCACCCGAGACUUUGUAGUAAACGUGACAUUGUAGAAACUAGGAAAUCGUAAUAAAUCGCGGCUGCCAGAUCCAUCUGGUUGCAGUUGGCAAGCGUUCAUUGCGAACGCCCGAUAAAGAUGUAACCUUGUGGCCAACAAUGACAUUUAAUAAAACUAUGCCGUCCAAUUUAAUGGAUGUUUGUCCUACUUCUCAUUAGAAUGGGCCCAACCUUAUCAAGCCUUGCGAACUUAUCGGCCUAAACAAGCUAAUAGAACUAAAGUUAUUAUACAAUGGGUGUGAACCUGAUAAAGACCUGAUACUACAAUAUGGUCAGAACACGUGCUACAUUGAACUCUGUAAGGUGUGAUUUACCGUAAAAAAAUUUGCUCAUGACUAAUGAGUGACUAUA